AGCUUCACCUUUUGAAUCCCGUUGUCCUUGAGCAGCUUCACCACCGUUGCAGGCGGCAGAGGGUGGCUUGCCUGAGUUCCCCAGUUUGCACCGAUGCUAUCUCCGCUAUUCACCAUCGACAUCAACAACACCAACAACAAGCUGUGAAAGUGGGAAAAGAAGAAGAAAAGAAGAAAACUGGUUGAUUUGAGGACCAGCUAAUUUGAGGCCAAGGUAGAAACUUUCUCAGUUCUAAUCAGGUUGAUAUUAUUGAGCUAAUGACAUUAUCACAUUAAUUAUUAGUUUAUGAAUAUUUAAGUGGAGGGGCACAGAGGUGAGAACAAAUGUUUGAAAUAGUUAUUCUCUGUCGUUGUCCAAACUGACUUAUUUAAUCAGAUACAUGGAGAAGAUGCUUACUUUAUAA